UACAGAGGGGGCAAGCGUUGUUCGGAAUUACUGGGCGUAAAGGGCGCGUAGGCGGCCUGUUAAGUCGGACGUGAAAUCCCCGGGCUCAACCCGGGAACUGCGUCCGAUACUGGCAGGCUUGAAUCCGGGAGAGGGAUGUGGAAUUCCAGGUGUAGCGGUGAAAUGCGUAGAUAUCUGGAGGAACACCGGUGGCGAAGGCGGCAUCCUGGACCGGCAUUGACGCUGAGGCGCGAAAGCCAGGGGAGCAAAGCGGG
rnacentral:rRNA from 1 species